GAGUUUGAUCUUGGCUCAGAUUGAACGCUGGCGGCAUGCCUUACACAUGCAAGUCGAGCGGCAGCGCGGGGGCAACCCUGGCGGCGAGCGGCGAACGGGUGAGUAAUACAUCGGAACGUGUCCAGUAGUGGGGGAUAACCAGUCGAAAGAUUGGCUAAUACCGCAUACGAUCUACGGAUGAAAGCGGGGGACCGCAAGGCCUCGCGCUAUUGGAGCGGCCGAUGUCGGAUUAGCUAGUUGGCGGGGUAAAAGCCCACCAAGGCGACGAUCCGUAGCUGGUCUGAGAGGACGAUCAGCCACACUGGAACUGAGACACGGUCCAGACUCCUACGGGAGGCAGCAGUGGGGAAUUUUGGACAAUGGGGGCAACCCUGAUCCAGCCAUGCCGCGUGAGUGAAGAAGGCCCUAGGGUUGUAAAGCUCCUUCACCGGAGAAGAUAAUGACGGUAUCCGGAGAAGAAGCCCCCGGCUAACUUCGUGCCAGCCGCCGCAGUAAC
rnacentral:rRNA from 1 species